CUUGCUAGAAAUGCACCUUUUUCAGCUCCAUCCCAGCUCUACUGCCCCCAGAAAUCUAAGAGUGAGACCCCACAGCCAGGGUCCUAACAAGCCUUCCAUCCCCAGUUGAUCCCAGUGACCCCUAACUUUGAAGCCACCAGAGGAGAUAAUGGCUCAGGCUACAAAGGUCAAUGCCAGUCAAGCAGUUAAAAUACAUUUUGGGUAAACAGGCUGUGUUUAUAGGAUCCCAAAUCAAGCAGUUAAGUUGAUCAUCUAAUUCAAUUAAGCAUGAAAGUGAAAAGUGAAGUUAUAUGCUGCCCCUGUUUGCCUCUGCCUGCAGGGUGAUGCCAGAAUAAGCCUGACACAGAAUUCAGUGUUGGGUAGUCCCACUCUGCAGAGCCGUCUCUGCAAUCAGGUCUAAGUGUCCCAGAAGCCACCGUGGGGAUUCAGAAUCUGCAUUUGCGCCUCACACCCUGGCCACCACACUGCCGUCAUUGUUACUGGUCAGGCCCCCUAGAGCUCCAAAGUCUGUGAAAGCUCUCAUGGAAUAGGCAUCAGCAAAGCCAGGAAGCCUCCAGAGGGCAUGAGCUGCAUUCAAGCUGCACAGUCACUUGUCUUGAAUUAGUCUGUGGGAGAAACAGAAAUGCAGCAUCCUCAAGAAAGAUCAGGAAAGGCCAAUUAUAUCCCUCUUAAAAAUAUCAUUUAAAAUAAUAAAUUGUUUCCCCACAAGCACACUUCCUCAUUGGCCUCUGAGUGAGCUCCCAUAUUGUUUAAAACAACAACGGAGAGCCUCUUCUCCGAAGAAAGACACCACGUGACCCCACAGGCCCUCCAAGAGAACAAAAUAACUCAGGCGUUCAUCCCGGAGGUGGGGUCCCUCAGCAGCGGGGAGCUUGGCACUGGAGAAGGCAUGUCGCACCAGGUCCCCCGACAAAAUUAUCAGCUGGGAGAGAAAGUGGCUCCCGCGGAGCCCAGAGUCACAACACAGCUGGGAAUCCGAGGCUGUCUCUCCAAGGAGGCAGCUUGUGUUGGG
ensembl:lncRNA